UGAACGCCUGGCGGCAGGCUUAACACAUGCCAGUCCAACGGUAGCAGGAAAAAGCCUUGCUUUCCUGCCUGACCAGCGGCGGAACGGUGAGUAAUGCUUGGGAAUCUGGCUUAAGGAGGGGGAAAACUACCGGAAACUGUAGCUAAUACCGCGUAGUGUCGAGAGACGAAAGUGCGGGACCGUAAGGCCGCAUGCCAUGAGAUGAGCCCAAGUGGGAUUAGGUAGUUUGGUGGGGUAAAGGCCUACCAAGCCUGCGAUCUCUAGCUGGUCUGAGAGGAUGGCCAGCCACACUGGAACUGAGACACGGUCCAGACUCCUACGGGAGGCAGCAGUGGGGAAUAUUGCGCAAUGGGGGGGAACCCUGACGCAGCCAUGCCGCGUGAAUGAAGAAGGCCUUCGGGUUGUAAAGUUCUUUCGGUAUUGAGGAAGGGAUGUGUGCUAAUAGUACAUAUCAUUGACGUUAAAUACAGAAGAAGCACCGGCUAACUCCGUGCCAGCAGCCGCGGUAAUACGGAGGGUGCGAGCGUUAAUCGGAAUAACUGGGCGUAAAGGGCACGCAGGCGGUUAUUUAAGUGAGGUGUGAAAGCCCCGGGCUUAACCUGGGAAUUGCAUUUCAGACUGGGUAACUAGAGUACUUUUAGGGAGGGGUAGAAUUCCACGUGUAGCGGUGAAAUGCGUAGAGAUGUGGAGGAAUACCGAAGGCGAAGGCAGCCCCUUGGGAAUGUACUGACGCUCAUGUGCGAAAGCGUGGGGAGCAAACAGGAUUAGAUACCCUGGUAGUCCACGCUGUAAACGCUGUCGAUUUGGGGAUUGAGCUUUAAGCUUGGUGCCCGUAGCUAACGUGAUAAAUCGACCGCCUGGGGAGUACGGCCGCAAGGUUAAAACUCAAAUGAAUUGACGGGGGCCCGCACAAGCGGUGGAGCAUGUGGUUUAAUUCGAUGCAACGCGAAGAACCUUACCUACUCUUGACAUCCAUGGAAUCCUGUAGAGAUACGGGAGUGCCUUCGGGAACCAUGAGACAGGUGCUGCAUGGCUGUCGUCAGCUCGUGUUGUGAAAUGUUGGGUUAAGUCCCGCAACGAGCGCAACCCUUAUCCUUUGUUGCCAGCGAUUUGGUCGGGAACUCAAAGGAGACUGCCAGUGAUAAACUGGAGGAAGGUGGGGAUGACGUCAAGUCAUCAUGGCCCUUACGAGUAGGGCUACACACGUGCUACAAUGGCGUAUACAGAGGGUGGCGAAAUUGCGAGAUGGAGCGAAUCUCAGAAAAAGUACGUCUAAGUUCCGGAUUGGAGUCUGCAAACUCGACUCCAUGAAGUUCGGAAUCGCUAGUUAAUCGCGAAAUCAGAAAUGUCGCGGUAAAUACGUUUCCCGGGCCCUUGUUCGCACCCCCC
rnacentral:rRNA from 1 species